GCAGUCGACGCUGAAGCACCUUCGGGUGUGGAUGAGUGGCGAACGGGUGAGUAACACGUGGGUAACCUGCCCUGUACUUUGGGAUAAGCCCUGGAAACGGGGUCUAAUACCGAAUAUGACUCGCUAAGGCAUCUUGGUGGGUGGAAAGUUUCGGCGGUACAGGAUGGGCCCGCGGCCUAUCAGCUUGUUGGUGGGGUAGUGGCCUACCAAGGCGACGACGGGUAGCCGGCCUGAGAGGGUGACCGGCCACACUGGGACUGAGACACGGCCCAGACUCCUACGGGAGGCAGCAGUGGGGAAUAUUGCACAAUGGGCGGAAGCCUGAUGCAGCGACGCCGCGUGAGGGAUGACGGCCUUCGGGUUGUAAACCUCUUUCGCCAGGGACGAAGCGUAAGUGACGGUACCUGGAGAAGAAGCACCGGCUAACUACGUGCCAGCAGCCGCGGUAAUACGUAGGGUGCAAGCGUUGUCCGGAAUUAUUGGGCGUAAAGAGCUCGUAGGCGGCUUGUCGCGUCUGCUGUGAAAAUCCGGGGCUUAACUCCGGACCUGCAGUGGAUACGGGCAGGCUUGAGUUCGGUAGGGGAGACUGGAAUUCCUGGUGUAGCGGUGAAAUGCGCAGAUAUCAGGAGGAACACCGGUGGCGAAGGCGGGUCUCUGGGCCGAUACUGACGCUGAGGAGCGAAAGCGUGGGGAGCGAACAGGAUUAGAUACCCUGGUAGUCCACGCUGUAAACGUUGGGCGCUAGGUGUGGGCGACUUCCACGUUGUCCGUGCCGUAGCUAACGCAUUAA
rnacentral:rRNA from 1 species